rnacentral:SRP_RNA from 1 species
UUUGUGCAACGAAUAUGUUAUAACCUGGUCAGAGUUGGAAGACAGCAGCCAUAUUAACCUCUAUACGUGUGCACUUUUUU